CCUUUUUUCCUUUUCUUUUUUCCCUUUUCCUUUUUUUCCUUCCUGGCCGAACUCCCCUAUGCCCCUUUCCCCUUUGCACGAUCUCUCUUCCCCUCCUUUUGGUCCCACAGCACCCACCUCCCCCUCUCCAAGCCGUGACCAACCACCUCUCCACCUACCUCUCUAUUCUCUUUUUAUAGGAGAUGGAUAACUAGAUUCAUCUCUAGCUCUCCCCUAUAAAUACCCCCACAGCCUUGUCUCUUUUCCCCCGUCC
rnacentral:lncRNA from 1 species